UGGGGAAUUUUGGACAAUGGGCGCAAGCCUGAUCCAGCAAUGCCGCGUGCAGGAUGAAGGCCUUCGGGUUGUAAACUGCUUUUGUACGGAACGAAACGGUCUUUUCUAAUACAGAAGGCUAAUGACGGUACCGUAAGAAUAAGCACCGGCUAACUACGUGCCAGCAGCCGCGGUAAUACGUAGGGUGCGAGCGUUAAUCGGAAUUACUGGGCGUAAAGCGUGCGCAGGCGGUUUUGUAAGACAGAUGUGAAAUCCCCGGGCUCAACCUGGGAAUUGCCUUUGUGACUGCAAGGCUUGAGUGCGGCAGAGGGGGAUGGAAUUCCGCGUGUAGCAGUGAAAUGCGUAGAUAUGCGGAGGAACACCGAUGGCGAAGGCAAUCCCCUGGGCCUGCACUGACGCUCAUGCACGAAAGCGUGGGGAGCAAACA
rnacentral:rRNA from 1 species